rnacentral:rRNA from 1 species
GAUGAACGCUGGCGGCGUGCCUAAUACAUGCAAGUCGAGCGAACAGACGAGGAGCUUGCUCCUCUGACGUUAGCGGCGGACGGGUGAGUAACACGUGGAUAACCUACCUAUAAGACUGGGAUAACUUCGGGAAACCGGAGCUAAUACCGGAUAAUAUAUUGAACCGCAUGGUUCAAUAGUGAAAGACGGUUUUGCUGUCACUUAUAGAUGGAUCCGCGCCGCAUUAGCUAGUUGGUAAGGUAACGGCUUACCAAGGCGACGAUGCGUAGCCGACCUGAGAGGGUGAUCGGCCACACGGGAACUGAGACACGGUCCAGACUCCUACGGGAGGCAGCAGUAGGGAAUCUUCCGCAAUGGGCGAAAGCCUGACGGAGCAACGCCGCGUGAGUGAUGAAGGUCUGCGGAUCGUAAAACUCUGUUAUUAGGGAAGAACAAAUGUGUAAGUAACUAUGCACGUCUUGACGGUACCUAAUCAGAAAGCCACGGCUAACUACG